rnacentral:misc_RNA from 1 species
GAUGAAGAACGCAGCGAAAUGCGAUAAGUAGUGUGAAUUGCAGAAUUCAGUGAAUCAUCGAAUCUUUGAACGCACAUUGCGCCCCUUGGUAUCCCGAGGGGCAUGCCUGUUCGAGCGUCAUUUCACCACUCAAGCCUGGCUUGGUGUUGGGCGACGUCCUCUUUGGGGACGCGCCUCGAAACGCUCGGCGGCGUGGCACCGGCUUUAAGCGUAGCAGAAUCUUUCGCUUUGGAAGUCGGGGCCCCGUCUGCCGGAAGACCUACUCGCAAGGUUGACCUCGGAUCAGGCAGGGAUACCCGCUGAACUUAAGCAUAUCAAUAAGCGGAGGA